rnacentral:rRNA from 1 species
UACAGAGGUCUCAAGCGUUGUUCGGAUUCAUUGGGCGUAAAGGGUGCGUAGGCGGCGCGGUAAGUCGGGUGUGAAAUCUCGGAGCUUAACUCCGAAACUGCAUUCGAUACUGUCGUGCUUGAGGACUGGAGAGGAGACUGGAAUUUACGGUGUAGCGGUGAAAUGCGUAGAUAUCGUAAGGAAGACCAGUGGCGAAGGCGGGGUCUCUGGACAGUUCCUGACGCUGAGGCACGAAGGUCAGGGGAGCAAAACGGGGA